GGGGAAUAUUGCACAAUGGGGGAAACCCUGAUGCAGCAACGCCGCGUGAGCGAUGAAGGCCUUCGGGUUGUAAAGCUCUGUCUUCGCUGACGAUAAUGACGGUAAGCGAGGAGAAAGCCACGGCUAACUACGUGCCAGCAGCCGCGGUAAUACAUAGGUGGCAAGCGUUGUCCGGAAUUACUGGGCGUAAAGGAUGCGUAGGCGGCUUCUUAAGUGGGAUGUGAAAUGCCGGGGCUUAACCCCGGAUGUGCAUUCCAUACUGGGAGGCUAGAGUGCAGGAGAGGAAAGCGGAAUUCCCAGUGUAGCGGUGAAAUGCGUAGAGAUUGGGAGGAACACCAGUGGCGAAGGCGGCUUUCUGGACUGUAACUGACGCUGAGGCAUGAAAGUGUGGGGAGCAAAC
rnacentral:rRNA from 1 species